GACGAACCGAGCGAACGUUGUUCGGAAUCACUGGGCUUAAAGGGCGCGUAGGCGGGCUACCAAGUCUGGGGUGAAAUCCCACGGCUCAACCGUGGAACUGCCUCGGAUACUGGCGGCCUCGAGGGAGGUAGGGGCGUGCGGAACUGUGGGUGGAGCGGUGAAAUGCGUUGAUAUCCACAGGAACUCCGGUGGCGAAGGCGGCACGCUGGACCUUUUCUGACGCUGAGGCGCGAAAGCCAGGGGAGCAAACGGG
rnacentral:rRNA from 1 species